GACGAACGCUGGCGGCGUGCUUAACACAUGCAAGUCGAACGGAAAGGCCCUGCUUUUGUGGGGUGCUCGAGUGGCGAACGGGUGAGUAACACGUGAGUAACCUGCCCUUGACUUUGGGAUAACUUCAGGAAACUGGGGCUAAUACCGGAUAGGAGCUCCUGCUGCAUGGUGGGGGUUGGAAAGUUUCGGCGGUUGGGGAUGGACUCGCGGCUUAUCAGCUUGUUGGUGGGGUAGUGGCUUACCAAGGCUUUGACGGGUAGCCGGCCUGGGAGGGUGACCGGCCACAUUGGGACGGAGAUACGGCCAAGACUCCUACGGGAGGCAGCAGUGGGGAAUAUUGCACAAGGGGCGGAAGCCUGAUGCAGCAACGCCGCGUGCGGGAUGACGGCCUUCGGGUUGUAACCCGCUUUCGCCUGUGACGAAGCGUGAGUGACGGUAAUGGGUAAAGAAGCACCGGCUAACUACGUG
rnacentral:rRNA from 1 species